UUUAUUGGAGAGUUUGAUCCUGGCUCAGGAUGAACGCUGGCGGCGUGCCUAAUACAUGCAAGUCGAGCGAAUGGAUUAAGAGCUUGCUCUUAUGAAGUUAGCGGCGGACGGGUGAGUAACACGUGGGUAACCUGCCCAUAAGACUGGGAUAACUCCGGGAAACCGGGGCUAAUACCGGAUAACAUUUUGAACUGCAUGGUUUGAAAUUGAAAGGCGGCUUCGGCUGUCACUUAUGGAUGGACCCGCGUCGCAUUAGCUAGUUGGUGAGGUAACGGCUCACCAAGGCAACGAUGCGUA
rnacentral:rRNA from 1 species